GGAAGAUUUGGGGGUGGGCGCAACGAUAAAGGGGUUAAACUGGGACUCUAUGGAGGCAAAUUACCCAAGGAAUGAAGAUGGGAAUUCUCUGUGCGCCCACGCCCGGCCCUGGAGCAGACGCACCCACGGUCACGCGUGUGAGCACGUGAAGUGGCACCGAUGAGCCUCCAGGACCCGCCGCCCCGGCGGCUGCAGACCCGCCUCUCACCCUCUAGGAGCCCGGGGGCGGGCGGCCCUCUCCCGGCGACACCGAUGGAAACAGAAGACUUCUGCCACAAAACUUUAAAAAAUGCAAAACAGAAAAACAAAGUGAGACUUGGAUGGUUAAUUUAGGCAGCAACUCCAGAUGACCACGCUGCGAGACAGAGGUAGUGAGUGGAGAACGUUUUGUCAAAUUUUAUCAACCUUAUGAGUAUAAAGAAGAAACAGAUUCAUUCUCCUUCUCUCAGCAAUUCUUCGUUCCUUUACAUUCUACUGUAGGUGAACACUGCCCUCUAUUGGCAGAAUGUUCCAACUUUUAAAUAUGUGGGGUUUUGGGUUUUAAUACAAAAAUCAGAAGAAAAAACUCAAAUCUCCAUGAAC